rnacentral:rRNA from 1 species
AUUGAACGCUGGCGGCAGGCCUAACACAUGCAAGUCGAGCGGAUGAGUGGAGCUUGCUCCAUGAUUCAGCGGCGGACGGGUGAGUAAUGCCUAGGAAUCUGCCUGGUAGUGGGGGACAACGUUUCGAAAGGAACGCUAAUACCGCAUACGUCCUACGGGAGAAAGUGGGGGAUCUUCGGACCUCACGCUAUCAGAUGAGCCUAGGUCGGAUUAGCUAGUUGGUGAGGUAAAGGCUCACCAAGGCGACGAUCCGUAACUGGUCUGAGAGGAUGAUCAGGCACACUGGAACUGAGAAACGGUCCAGACUCCUACGGGAGGCAGCAGUGGGGAAUAUUGGACAAUGGGCGAAAGCCUGAUCCAGCCAUGCCGCGUGUGUGAAGAAGGUCUUCGGAUUGUAAAGCACUUUAAGUUGGGAGGAAGGGCAGUAAGUUAAUACCUUGCUGUUUUGACGUUACCAACAGAAUAAGCACCGGCUAACUUCGUGCCAGCAGCCGCGGUAAUAC